GGAUAUAGCUCGGUUGUUAGAGUGCUUGCCUCACACGCACAAUGUCCUGGGUUCAAUCCCCAGCACCA
rnacentral:tRNA from 1 species